rnacentral:misc_RNA from 1 species
UGGCUCUGGCAUNGAUGAAGAACGCAGCGAAAUGCGAUACGUAAUGUGAAUUGCAGAGCUCAGUGAAUCAUCGAAUCUUUGAACGCACAUUGCGCCCCUUGGUAUUCCGAGGGGCAUGCCUGUUCGAGCGUCAUUAUCACCCCUCAAGCCUAGCUUGGUGUUGGGGCGCGCCCGCGAGGGCGGCCCUUAAAAUCAGUGGCGGUGCCGUCAGGCUCUAAGCGUAGUAAUUUUCCUCGCUAUAGAGCUCUGGCGGUUUCCAGCCAGAACCCCCAUUUUUUUAUGAUUGACCUCGGAUCAGGUAGGGUUACCCGCUGA